rnacentral:sRNA from 1 species
UGAUACAAGUGUCAAAAAUAUGAGUAAGUAGCCAUUUUUGCAAAAAAAUAAGCGGAUUACGAAUAUUUUUGCAAGGCUUGCAUUAAGCGUAGCUAUAGCAAGCCUGUAUCA